rnacentral:rRNA from 1 species
AUCCGUAACUUCGGGAAAAGGAUUGGCUCUGAGGACUGGGCUCGGGGGUCCCGGCCCCGAACCCGUCGGCUGUCGGCGGAUUGCUCGAGCUGCUCACGCGGCGAGAGCGGGUCGCCGCGUGCCGGCCGGGGGACGGACCGGGAAUCGCCCCUUCGGGGGCUUUCCCCGAGCAUGAAACAGUCGACUCAGAACUGGUACGGACAAGGGGAAUCCGACUGUUUAAUUAAAACAAAGCAUUGCGAUGGUCCUCGCGGAUGCUGA